rnacentral:rRNA from 1 species
AUCAGAUGUGCCCAGAUGGGAUUAGCUAGUAGGUGGGGUAACGGCUCACCUAGGCGACGAUCCCUAGCUGGUCUGAGAGGAUGACCAGCCACACUGGAACUGAGACACGGUCCAGACUCCUACGGGAGGCAGCAGUGGGGAAUAUUGCACAAUGGGCGCAAGCCUGAUGCAGCCAUGCCGCGUGUGUGAAGAAGGCCUUCGGGUUGUAAAGCACUUUCAGCGGGGAGGAAGGCGUUGAGGUUAAUAACCUUGUCGAUUGACGUUACCCGCAGAAGAAGCACCGGCUAACUCCGUGCCAGCAGCCGCGGUAAUACGGAGGGUGCAAGCGUUAAUCGGAAUUACUGGGCGUAAAGCGCACGCAGGCGGUCUGUCAAGUCGGAUGUGAAAUCCCCGGGCUCAACCUGGGAACUGCAUUCGAAACUGGCAGGCUAGAGUCUUGUAGAGGGGGGUAGAAUUCCAGGUGUAGCGGUGAAAUGCGUAGAGAUCUGGAGGAAUACCGGUGGCGAAGGCGGCCCCCUGGACAAAGACUGACGCUCAGGUGCGAAAGCGUGGGGAGCAAACAGGAUUAGAUACCCUGGUAGUCCACGCCGUAAACGAUGUCGAUUUGGAGGUUGUGCCCUUGAGGCGUGGCUUCCGGAGCUAACGCGUUAAAUCGACCGCCUGGGGAGUACGGCCGCAAGGUUAAAACUCAAAUGAAUUGACGGGGGCCCGCACAAGCGGUGGAGCAUGUGGUUUAAUUCGAUGCAACGCGAAGAACCUUACCUGGUCUUGACAUCCACAGAACUUUCCAGAGAUGGAUUGGUGCCUUCGGGAACUGUGAGACAGGUGCUGCAUGGCUGUCGUCAGCUCGUGUUGUGAAAUGUUGGGUUAAGUCCCGCAACGAGCGCAACCCUUAUCCUUUGUUGCCAGCGGUUAGGCCGGGAACUCAAAGGAGACUGCCAGUGAUAAACUGGAGGAAGGUGGGGAUGACGUCAAGUCAUCAUGGCCCUUACGACCAGGGCUACACACGUGCUACAAUGGCAUAUACAAAGAGAAGCGACCUCGCGAGAGCAAGCGGACCUCAUAAAGUAUGUCGUAGUCCGGAUUGGAGUCUGCAACUCGACUCCAUGAAGUCGGAAUCGCUAGUAAUCGUAGAUCAGAAUGCUACGGUGAAUACGUUCCCGGGCCUUGUACACACCGCCCGUCACACCAUGGGAGUGGGUUGCAAAAGAAGUAGGUAGCUUAACCUUCGGGAGGGCGCU